rnacentral:rRNA from 1 species
UAAUGGGUGUGAAAACACCACGCCGAAAGACCAAGGGUUCCUGCAACGUUAAUCGACGCGGGGUUGGUUCGGUUCCUAAGGCGAGGCUGAAAAGCGUAGUCGAUGGAAACAGGUUAAUAUUCACUUUUGGUUACUGCGAUGGAGGGACGGAGAAGGCUGGCCAGCUUGGCGUUGGUUGUCCAAGUUUAAGGUGGUAGGCUGAAAUCUUAGGUAAAUCCGGGUUUCAAGGCCGAGCUGAUGACGAGUCGUCUUUAGAUGACGAAGUGGUUGAUGCCAUGCUUCCAAGAAAGCUUCUAAGCUUCAGGUAACCAGGAACCGUACCCCAAACCGACACAGGUGGUCGGUAGAGAAUACCAAGGCGCUUGAGAGAACUCGGGUGAAGGAACUAGGCAAAUGGCACCGUAACUUCGGGAGAAGGUGCGCCGGCUAGGGUGAAGGAUUUACUGCGUAAGCUCUGGCUGGUCGAAGAUACCAGGCCGCUGCGACUGUUUAUUAAAACACAGCACUCUGCAAACACGAAAGUGGACGUAGGGUGUGACGCCUCCCCGGUGCCGGAAGGUUAAUUGAUGGGGUUAGCGCAAGCGAAGCUCGAUCGAAGCCCCGGUAAACGGCGGCCGUAACAAUAACGGUCCUAAGGUAGCGAAAUUCCUUGUCGGGUGGUUCCGACCUGCACGAAUGGCGUAACGAUGGCGGCGCUGUCUCCACCGAGACUCAGUGAAAUUGAAAUCGCUGUGAAGAUGCAGUGUAUCCGCGGCUAGACGGAAAGACCCCGUGAACCUUUACCGUAGCUUUCACUGACUUUGAGCCUGCUUGUGUAGGAUAGGUGGGAGGCUUUGAAGCGUGGACGCCAGUUCGCGUGGAGCCAUCCUUGAAAUACCACCCUGGCAUGCUUGAGGUUCUAACUCUGGUCCGUAAUCCGGAUCGAGGACAGUGUAUGGUGGGCAGUUUGACUGGGGCGGUCUCCUCCUAAAGAGUAACGGAGGAGUACGAAGGUGCGCUCAGACCGGUCGGAAAUCGGUCGCAGAGUAUAAAGGCAAAAGCGCGCGCUUGACUGCGAGACAGACACGUCGAGCAGGUACGAAAGUAGGUCUUAGUGAUCCGGUGGUUCUGGUAUGGAAGGGCCAUCGCUCAACGGAUAAAAAGGUACUCCCGGAUAACAGGCUGAUACCGCCCAAGAGUUCAUAUCGACGGCGGUGUUUGGCACCUCGAUGUCGGCUCAUCACAUCCUUGGGCUGAAGCCGGUCCCAAGGUAUGGCUGUUCGCCAUUUAAAGUGGUACGCGAGCUGGGUUUAGAACGUCGUGAGACAGUUCGGUCCCUAUCUGCCGUGGACGUUUGAGAUCUGAGAGGGGCUGCUCCUAGUACGAGAAGGACCGGAGUGGACGAACCUCUGGUGUUCCGGUUGUCACGCCAGUGGCAUUGCCGGGUAGCUAUGUUCGGAAAAGAUAACCGCUGAAACCAUCUAAGCGGGAAACUUGCCUCAAGAUGAGAUCUCACUGGGAACUUGAUUCCCUGAAGGGCCGUCGAAGACUACGACGUUGAUAGGCUGGGUGUGUAAGCGUUGUGAGGCGUUGAGCUAACCAGUACUAAUUGCCCGUGAGGC